GAGGGCAGGGGCCCCAACUAGGUCUUCGUCUGGUUCCUGUUUCUCCAUUUGCCUACCAGAUCAAGAAGACCAUCACAAAAGGCUCAGCCAAGGGCAGCCCAGCCUGAGUGUGGGAGACUCCAUGCAAGUUGGGGAAAGUGACUUGAGUUCGCUGGGCCUCGGUUUCCUCUGUGAAUGGGGACAUGGAGUCUUUGUGAAGAUAACAUGAAGGAAGGCUUGCAGCACGGUGGGAGCCUGGCAGGGCCUCAUCUAGGGGAGCAGGUGAGAACAGCAGAAACAGCCCUGAGGGGGAGCAGGAUCUGAACUCGCUGUGGGACUGCUGGCAAACAGUACUUGUUCUAUCUUUCUUCGGUAAAGUGAAGAUUAUAAUGGUACCUACUUCAUAGGAGUUGUGAGGACUACGUGAAUUGUGCCUGGCAAAUAGGAGCGCCCUACCCCAAACAUACACACAUCCCAAGUCAAAGCUGGAAGAGGCAGAAGCUGGAAC